rnacentral:miRNA from 2 species
CCAUGGAUCUCCAGGUGGGUCA